AAAAAUUAGAGGAAUUCCCACUGUGGUGCGAUGGGAUCUCUGGGGUCUUGGGAGCGCUAGGACAUGUGUUCCAUCCCUAGCCUGGUACAGUGGGUUAAGGAUCCAUGCAUUGCCACGGCUGUGGCUUAGGUUGCAAUUAUGGCUCUGAUCUGAUCCCUGGCCAGGAACCCCAUAGGGGCCAGGGGUGGCCCCAAAAUAAAUAAAUAAAUACAUAAAAGUAAAACUUAGAGAAAGCCUGUAAAAGUGAUUUUCCAGUAGAUUUAAAAAUUGUAUUUAUUAUGUUUUGUGUAUGUGCAUUUUAAGUAUAGCAUAUACACAGAAAAGUGCCACUUGAAGAAUAAGUGAAUAGUGCUGUGUGUACACCACUUAUAUUGUUCGAUUCUCAGAGGAAGAUUAGAGGGGAGUUUGAGAUGGGCCAAUGACUCAGAAUUCCUCUUCUUUGUUCUACUGGAAAAUGACCUCCAUAACAGGAAGAACCUGAGUUGUAGAAUAGGAAGACUCAGUUGUGAGCCCCAUCUGGUAUCUUCCUGCUAUGUGAUCUCAGGCAAAUGGCUCUACUUCCCUUAUCCUCAGUUUUACCAUCUGUAGAAUGGGCUAACAGUAUCUGCCUCACCAAGAUGGUGUGAAAAGUGAAACAGGACAAAGCUGGAGAAAGCUCUCUGCGUUACGCAAAAAAAGUGCUCUUGAGGAGUUGCCAUUGCGGCUCAGCAGUGGCAAACCCAACUAGUAUCCAUGAGGACGUGGGGUUCCAAACCUGGCCUUGCUUCUUGCUCAGUGGGUUAAGGAUCCAGCAUUGCCGUGUGCUGUGCUGUGGUCACAGACUCAGCUCAAAUCCCCAGUUGCUGCGGCUGUGGUGUAGGCUGGCAGCCGCAGCUCCAAUUUGACCCCUAUCCUGGGAACUUCCAUAUGCCGCAGGUGUGCGGCCCUAAAAAGACAACACAGACACACAGACACACACACACACUGCUCCUGAGUUUCAACACACACACACACACACACACUGCUCCUGAGUUUCAACACACACACACCGCUCCUGAGUUUCAAACUCUAAUCUGUCUCAGAUCUGGGUUGCUUUGCUGUACCUUCUUCCUUCUCCACCUGACGGCGGGCAGUUCAGAUAAAGGAGAAGAGGGGGAGGAGGGAGUUUCUUUUUUUGUAGCACUUUGUUUCCCAUUCUAAAAUACCUCUACCGGAUCUGGACUGUCACUCCUGUACCCUUCUUUAUCCCCACCCUUCCCGCUCACUCUCACUGUUUCCCCUCUCACCUAACAGGCUCAAAGAGGCAGAGGAAGGAGGGCAGGGAGUUAGGGCCAUGCAAAGAGGCUUGGGGGUGAGGAUAAAACUGAUGCUCCUUUCCCAGCCUUCACUGAGGACCUCGUGUCGCCAUCUCUGCACAGGGCAUUGGGGAUUGCUGGGGGACAGGGAAGGGAACCGUGGCAUUCACAGAUAGUUACUGUUGAAGCAAAAUGGAAACAGGUGGGUAACAGAGCAGUCAGCUAAGGUCAAGGUCUUACUGUUAAGAGGUAAAAGGCCCCUAAGGAGUUGAGAAACAGAAGAGACAAAACGCCGUAAAGAAGGUGAGGCCAGUGCCAGACUCUCCCUCUCACCUCCCAUUUCAGAUUCUUGGCAUUUCUGCAAUAAAUACCUCUAAGUGUCUAUUGCACAUGAGACCAUUCUUUUACAUACUUUGUCUUAUACAGUCUUAGAACAAGGCCAAAAGCCGAGUCUUGUAAUUACCAUGCUUCUGAUGAGGGGGACUGAGAUGCUCAGGCACUUGCUCAAGAUCACACCACUGUUAAAGGAAGGAAAGAGUUUGGAACACCCAUUCAUCCAGCUCCAAAGCUCCUGCUUUUCCCACUCUGCUCUCCUGUUUCACUGCAGGGCACCACACAUUUCAUCAGGCUGUGCUGCAUUGCAUGCAUUUUUAGUAUUUGUGUGCACAUGUCAAUAGGCAUGUCGACAUGCCUGCUGGGUGAGUCUUAAUGAUUGCAUUUUGAGCGGCUACCUGCAUUUUUGCUGGCAAGGCUUGGCUGAGGAGGACAGGAAAGGAAGCCCAGGAGCCCACUGCGUGGGAGGCCCGUCACAUGGCCCGAGGGUUGGUCCUUGAACAAACCAAUGGGAAAUGGCUCUGGGUAGCACCAGUAGAACUUCAGUUCCCUGGGGGACUCCCAGGUUUUUCCAUGACUAUCCUAUUGCCAAAGCACAAUUCAUUUCCCAUUUUUUAAAAAUACAGGUAGAACUUUUAUUUUUUAAAUUUAAUUUUUAUUUUAUAUUAUACUUGAUUUACAGUGUUGUUUUAGUUUCAGGUGUACAGCAAAGUGAUUCAGUUAUACAUUCUCAUUCUUUUUUUUUUUUUUAAAGGAACUAAUAUUUGUUUAGCACCCACUAUAUGACAAGCGUGGUGCUAGGCACUUUACAUCCGUGAUAUCAUUUAACUCCUACACACCCUGCCAAGGGGGCACCCUCAGCACCCCUGUGUGGCCCAGGAGACCAGGAAACAGAUUCAGUAAGGUGGGGUCCUUUGCCCAAGAUCAUUCAGAGCAGUGCAGAACAGGGCCUCCUGCCCAGUGCUGUCGAAACAACAGGCCACACUGGCAUUUUAAAGUUAUUGGUGGCUAUAUGUGGAAUCAAAAAACAAAAAAUAAAAAAAGGGGAUACAAAUGAACUUAUUUGCAAAACAGAAAUAGACUCACAGACUUUGAAAAUCUUAGGGUUACCAAAGGGGACCAGUGAUGGGGUGGGAGAGAUGGACUUGGAGGUUUGGGAUUGGCAUGUGCACACUGAGGUAUAUGGAACGAUUGGCCAACAGGCACCUGCUGUAUAACACCGGGAGCUCUACCCAGUAUUCUAUGAUAAUCUAUGGGGGAAAAGAUUCUGAGAGAGAGUGGAUAGAUGUAUAUGUAUGACUGGGUCACUUUGUUGUACAGCAGAAAUUAUCAUAGCCUUGUAAAUUAACUAUACUUCAAUAAAACUUAAAAAAAGAUCAAGUUAUUGGUGGGAUAGUUCAGUUUUCAAUAAUAUUGUAAAUGAUCUCUAAUUCAUGAACCAGGAUGCUGGCCUGCCAAUUCUGUCCCUGCUCUUUUAGAGAAGGAAGGGCUUUAUCUUUUCACUCUUGAGUAACUGGGCCAUGUUGUCCCAGAGAUAAAAACCUUCAGGACAGGUCACUUGAGUGUCAUGUCUAGGGGGUUUAACAAUGCCCACCUUUUCUCAUUUGGCCCUCUUCUCCCCCUUUUUACCUAAGGCACCUGGUCUCCUUUCAAGACCUCUCCCCCUCCCCCAUCACCAUGGUUGUGUGGUUGCCGAGGUGGCCCCAGCCAUGACCAGGAAGGCAGGACCUGUGGCCUGAAUGAGCUUGUGGUCAGAAAGACCUGGUUUCCUGGGGUCCAGGGGGACCUCUGAGGUUUUUGAUCGGCUCUAAUAGUCUCCCAAAGCUCCCUGGCCCCUGCUCACCAGUGCCCCCCCAUAGAAGAUGUCCUCAGGGUCACUUGAGUCCAUUUGAUCUGUGAGACAAGCAUUUGGGCCAACCAGCCCGUUUUGAGCAUAAAUGACAAUUUUGAAUACCUGAGUAGUCUUAAUUUUUUGCACUGAGCAGACAGAUUGAUGAAAUCUUCCAGAAGCAGGAUGCAUAAUAAAGAUGAAGAUUCUUGCAAUCUUAGAGCCUGUCUUUUCAAAUCUCUUUCAAGGUUCCUAAAAGAGGACAGCAGUGGGGAGGGGAACUAGAGGAGAAUGAGCUCUGAGCAUGGGCAGUGGUGGGGAAGGAAAGCCUGGGAUUCUGGCUGUGUUACCUUGGGAACACACCACUCACCUCUCUGAGCCCCACUUUUUUUUUCUUCUGCUGUUUGACAAUGGCAGUGCACUCCCAUCCCUGCUCCCAGCCCCAGGUGGCUUCUGUGAAUUAAACUAUAGUUUAUGGUUUUGAAGCAGGGUCCCAAUAGAGAGAAGACGCUGAGACAAAGGUCAGGAGGCCUGCGUUGUACUUUAGAUCCCCUGGACUCUGCACCUCCUUUCUCUGAGUCUCUCUUUGUGUAAGAUGAAGGGAUUAGAGUAAAUUUUAUCUCCUCUGUGGUCCCUUUUGACUCUAGCAAGCCGUGAUUCCUAUUGCUAAGUGGAGGAUUAGAAGCAACCUUUAAGAGAUGAGUGGCACUUUUAAUAUUUAACUAUUCAAUUAUUCAACAGAUAUUUACUAAAGGCUGACUAUGUGUCAGCCACAGGGCUAGGUGAUGGGUAUAGAGUGACAAAACUGAUGCAGCUCCUGCCCUCCUGGAACUUCUGAUCUAGUGUGAGACAGUUUGAGGGAGCUUCCUCAUCUCAGAUAGUUGAAGAAGUGCUAGGGCUCCCAGGGGACACUCUUAGCUGCAGGAGCAAUUGAUAGAUGUAAUAAAGGGGCAACAUUCACUGAACAUAAAAAUCAAUGCAAGCACCUUAGAGCAGCUCUGGGGGUGACCCUAGAGUCAAGGAGCAGUUCCUAGGAGUCAGGAAAGGUUGUGGGUACCUCUGGCCAAGGGUGUGUGUAAUUGCUAAAUAGUUUGUUUGCUGAGACGCCUGAGAACAGGAGGAUAUGUUCCUACCUGCCUGGUUCCCAAGGGGGCCGUUUUCUGGGAACAAGGAACAAGGACAGCUUCCCAUGACCUGACUUUUCCCCAGAGGUGGAGCCAGAGCAGAUGUUGGAUCCCAAGAAGAGAAGAGUGGCCAGAGAAAAGCAUGACACUUGGGCCAAGCCCAAAGGACUUUGAAGUCAUGGAGUCCCAUCUGUAUCUUGUUGAGAGAGAACUGGGGGGCAUAUGAGAGUGGCUCUUGCGCCAUGGUCAGGAGGUUCUCUGGGGAGGUAGAAAGAACCUGGGCUUAGGAGUUGGAGACUGACUUGGGUUUAAAGACUGUGGAAGCUUGGGCAAAUCACUUAACCUCUCGAACCAGCUCCCUCAUCUGUUAAAUAGACAUCACGAUGUUGGCCCCUCUAAGAUGUCAUGGGGUAAAAUAAAACUCAGGCACCUAAAAUCAGCACCCAUGACUGACUACAGACUUGAUGACUGGUAUUCCUAAAUAUUACCGGGAUCUCUUUCUGUGCAAUAUUGAAAGACAGGGCUCGGAACAACUUCAAUGAGAAAACUUAGAAGCAGGUUGUAUGAUUUUCAAUGUAAGUAAAACGGUGAAACCAGACUGGGGCUAGAGGGAUUUGGGUUUCUCUAGCUUAAUUCACCCACUCACCAGCUGUCUGACCUGAGACAGGUUAUUUUUGCCCUCUUUGACACUUGGUUUUCUCCUCUGUUAAAUGGAGAUAUCUCCAUGCGCAACCUUGUCUCAUCUACCAUUAAAUGUUUAUUGAAUGCCUAUGAUGCUUGGUGCUGAGGACAUAGAAAUAGGAGCUCCUGACCCUAAGGUGGGACAGACCAUUAAACAGAUGCUUGCAGUAGAGUGUCGUCAGGCCUAGCCCUGUCUGAGUGGACAAGGAAGGCUUCUUGGAGGAGGUGAUAUCUAAAGCUGAGUGCUAAAGGCUGAAUAGUAUUUAACCAUAGGAAAGGAAGAGAGGAGCUGGGAGCAUUUCAGUAGGAAGGGAUUGCCUGUGUAAAGGCCAGGACAUUGGUGACCACAGCGGAAGUGAUAAUGUGACUAGCCCAAUCUGCCUUUCCUCGAAGUAGAUUUUGUAUGAAGGCAGUGGGAGGCCACUGGGUGGUUUGAAGCACGAGAGUUGGAGUGAUAUCUUCACAUUGGCACUUUAGAAAGAACACUCAGGGUUGUAGGCACAUGUGUCAGGUUUUAUUGUGGACACAUAAUUAUUGUUGGGGUAAGUUGAUUCUUUCUUCUUCCUCUUCCUAUUCCUCUCCUUCUUCCUUACCCUGCCCACAUAAGAUGGCUCACAGAAGAUGAAAUAACCCUCAUCUGUGUGUGAUCUGGCACAUAGUAGGUGUCCAGUUAUCAUAUAUCCCUCCUCCCAAAAAUAGUUCCUAAAAGUGUAAUCCCCGACAUGAAAUGCAGGUUAGGACAAGCAUGUCUUAACAUUAGGUGUGGCUGCUUGCAUUUUCUGGCUGGUGUUCGAGUACAGCCGACUGGAUCUAGGUCAAAGGAAGUUCCCCAGACAGUUCAGUCUUAACCAGUCAUCUGGGGUUUCAGGGAGGGCAGGUGAAGGUCAGAAUACCUCCCCUAUUUCAGGAGGCCCCUCCUCCUGGUCUUGAAAAUGUACCAGACAUGAGCCAUCCUAUUAAUUUGUCCAAGUCAGCUUCUUCAUCUGUAAAAUGGGUAUGAAGUUACCUGCACCGCCAACCACAUUGGGGGUGGUGGUGGGUGGUUGUCAUGAGGAUUGGAAGAAGUAUGUGAACCACAAAGAAGAAGUAUGUGAACCACAAAGGAAUGCAAUAGAUUCCGCUCAAUAGUACUUACCAUGGGCCAGGCCUUGUUCUAUGAAGCCAGUAUUAUCGUUAUCCCUAUUCUACAGACAAAGAAAGCAGAGUUCAGGGAAAUUAUGUAAAUCACUCAGGGGCAAAUCAUUCCGUGGCUUUGGCCAGAUGAUGGCUGUUCUGUGAUACCAUCACCUGCUGUCCCUUGAGACCAACCAGUAGCUCCUUGAGCGCUUAGCAUGAUUUGGGUAUUCCAGAAAUAUGUGCAGAAAGGUGGAAGGAAGCAGGAAAAGGGUAGUGUUGGAAGGCUGAGAUAGUCUUUCCUAAUGUCUCCUGACUCCACCCCUAAUCUACUCAGUGUCUUCUCCCAAAGGUACUCCAGGAAAUGGUUCCUUGCCCCCAUAUUAAAAUGAUCUGUUACCGGGAGUUUCCGUUGGGCUCAGAGGUCUCGAACCCGACUAGUAUCCACUAGGACUCGGGUUCGAUCCCUGGCCUUGCUCAGUGGGCUAAGGAUCGAGCGUUGCCGUGAGCUGUGGUUUAGGUUGCAGAUGUGGCUGGGAUCUGGUGCUGCUGUGGCUGUGAUGCAGGCUGGCAGCUGCAACUCCAGUUCAACCCCUAGCCUGGGAAUAUCCACGUGCUGCAGGUGCGGCCCUAAAAAGACAAAAAAAAAAAAAAAANAAAAAAAAAA
rnacentral:lncRNA from 1 species